rnacentral:rRNA from 2 species
GGACUACCAGGGUAUCUAAUCCUGUUUGAUCCCCACGCUUUCGUGCCUCAGCGUCAGUUACAAUUUAGCGAGCUGCCUUCGCAAUCGGUGUUCUGUGUCAUAUCUAAGCAUUUCACCGCUACAUGACACAUUCCGCCCGCUUCAAGUGUACCCAAUCCCUACAGUUUUACGGCCAGUUUCCUCGUUAAGCGAGGAGAUUUCAGCCAUAACUUAUAGGGAGGCCUACGCACCCUUUAAACCCAAUAAAUCCGGAUAACGCUCGGGUCCUUCGUAUUACCGCGGCUGCUGGCAC